UGCAUAUACAGACUGAAAGUGGGAGAUCCUAGUCCACCAUCAGCAUGACUAGUUAUGCAUUUUAAAACAUGUAAUUCUACUCGUAAUCCUAUCCAAUUCGUUAGCUAGCUCGGUAUCUGUCAGGCAAUUGGAGCUGGCUGAAUUUCUGGAAAGUCUUCCGACGCCGACAGUAGCUUCUUUGCCGCUUUGGAUGCAGAGGGCAGAUGGCGUCUCCUCUGAUGGCUUGUGUACACUAGCACGUGGUAAAUUGCUGCGUGCCGCUUAUGCCGCCCAGAGUGGCUUGCAGGUAGCAUAUAGCAGCAAGUUCGAUUGUGACGUUUGAUUGUGCAUCAUGUUUGUAUGAAGGACUGGUUGAUAAAUAGUUUAAUCCAUUCUCAAUUUCAUUAAUUUAUUCACAGUUAAAUAGUAACAUGCUCUAAAACGCUCUGGUGACAAAUACAAUUUGCUGUCCUGUUUCCAAUCGUCCACAUGGCUGGGAGAACCUAUUGAAGUAACUGAAUACUGUAACAAUCGACCCUCCCGCACCCUCCCGCACGUGCAUAUGCUUUUGCGGUACAGUCGAUAGCGCGCCGGAUCUCGGGGUCGAAGGUCGAGGGUUCGAGACCUGCUCUCUGCUGUUUAAUUACAAUACAUUUCGAAAAUGUAAAAAAAAAAAACGAUGUAUUAUUAGCUAACUACCUAUAGUACAGGCUAACUCAAAUGAGCUGCUAACGUAGCUAGCUGGCUAUCUAGCCAACUUUUACAUAGUGUAUAGAUAACAAGCUAAGUGAAUUAAAUAUCACCAGCAACCUAACGUCAUAUUAGCUAGCUAUCUCUAUGAGAAAAAAAAAACUCCAAAUGCAUUUGUAGGUAGCUAGCUAACAGCCAUGGAGGAGGGUGAAAGGAUGGCUGCGCCAACUGUCAAAGUGAGAGAGUAGGUUAUUCUGGAUAGGACAGGUACUUUUCUGUAGUUCCAGUCCCUAGAAGUGAGGACGGAGAUAAUAGUAACAUAAUAUUCAGUGCGGUCUAAUUUAAGUAUAAUUAAGUCUGCUUCUUGUGAGGUUUUCUGACCUCACAUACAGGGAGCUGUGAAAGCCUGUCUGCAGAUUAAGAGUAAAUAAAUAAAUAGUGGUUCUGAGUCCUGGUCCUGGGGACUCAAAGGGGUGCACAUUUUUGUUUUUGCCUUAGCACUACACAGCUGAUUCAAAUGAUCAACUCAUCAUCAAGUGUCAAGUGGUAUUUAUGUAUUCAUUUGUGAUGCUAUCCUUGAUAUGAUCCUGCUAUUGUCACAUGCACUUGUGUGCACAUGCAUCUAUCUAUCCAAUGUCAUCAUGAUUUGCUAUAAGGGAUAUUAUACUUUAAUAAUCCACAAUGACCUGGUGAUGUAAAAGUUGAAUAAUGACAUUGUCGGAAUAUGGAAGACGGAUACCUUGUAACUGGAGAUACCUACAAAAUGAUUGCCUAGUUACCGUGUAGGGCACUGCAAGGUUGGGUGACCAGUGCUACCUGUAUCCUGCAUAACUUCAUGAGGAUGGACACGAGGACCAGGAGGGGAUCUGCAGCUGGCCGCCGUGUGCCAGAGGAGAAGUCUGCUGCUCUGCAGGAUGUUUGAAGGAUGGGGUCCAACAAUGCUGCAGGAGAGGCAAUCCGUGUGCGGGACAUCUUCACCUCCUACUUCUUAGAAGAGGGUGCUGUUCCCUGACAACAUCAUAGACUACACUAUGCACAACCAAAGGAUAUUUAUAAGCCAUCCACAUUGCAAUAACAGUAUUCUUCCAUUUACUUACCAAUGUCAACUGCAUUUAUUCAAUUCCCAGUUUAUCUCCCUUUGAUUUCUACUUCUCAGGUGAGGGUGCUGUUUAGGUAAGGGUGCGAUGUCGGCACAAAAACAAAACAGGCUAUUUUAAGUCGUGUCUGUGCAUGUUUUUCAGCAUAAAGUACUCUGCAUCCACUCAGUGUGGACUCCAGGUGAGGCCACACAGAUUCCUGUUGAAAACUGUCUUUAACUACCUUGUUUUCUCAAUAACAAUCUCUCUCCUUCUCCCUAAAUCAUCUAGGUUAUAUCAGCUGUGUCGAUGAACCCCUCCCGCAUCUGAACUGGCUACAUAGGGGGGACAGCAUUAUCAGAGGUCACCAGUCUGCUCGUUAUGGCACACACCUGUCACCAUCGUUGCGCGCACCUGCACGUCAUCAGACUCACCUGGACUCCAUCACCUCCCUGAUUAUCUUCCCUAUAUAUAUAUAUAUGUCACUCCCUUUGGUUCCUUCCCCAGGCCUUAUUGUUUCUGUUCCAGUGUCAUGUCUGUGCGUGGUUUGUGUUUUAUGUAUUAAAACACUCACUCCC
ensembl:lncRNA